rnacentral:rRNA from 1 species
UACGUAGGGUGCGAGCGUUGUCCGGAAUUAUUGGGCGUAAAGAGCUCGUAGGCGGUGUGUCGCGUCGGCCGUGAAAACCUGCAGCUUAACUGUGGGCUUGCGGUCGAUACGGGCGGACUGGAGUUCGGCAGGGGAGACUGGAAUUCCUGGUGUAGCGGUGAAAUGCGCAGAUAUCAGGAGGAACACCGGUGGCGAAGGCAGCUUACUGGGCCGAAACUGACGCUGAGGAGCGAAAGCGUGGGGAGCGAACAGG